rnacentral:tRNA from 1 species
GGGGGUUUAGCUCAGUUGGUAGAGCGUUCGCUUAGCAUCGCCUAAAUUGCGAAAGGUCGCGUGUUCGACUCAUGCAGUCUCCA